rnacentral:lncRNA from 1 species
AUAUAUACGGCUGGACGGCAGCAAAGUUUGAGAGGGGAGACGCACGAAUAGAGUCAAACAACAUCAGACGCACAAGGUUUUGCAUCGGACGAAAAGACAAAGAAAAAAAAGGCGAUCAAGAGAGAAGAAGGUGAUUGGUUCGAGGGUUCAAGCCGCGAUCAAGAUUCACGUCCGGAUAUCUUGCUCGUAUGGAGACAAACUAUGGAAAAGUAUCAUCUACAGGCUCUGCUUCAUUUUAGCGAACCAAGAAAUAGAUUGAAGAGUUACAAAGAAAGCGUAACCCUGCAUAUGGUUACUGUUUCGGUGGCCAACUUUGUGUGAGUGUUCUGUAGGCUACAACAACAGAUGUUGGGAUCGAAUGUGAGCCCUGUGAUGGAGGAGGACUGUUGCUUUGUGAUUUCUGUAAAGCUCAAAAGACAAAUGUAAAAUCUGAAACAAAUCGCUUCUAUUGUAGAUGCCCAUCUUGCAAAGCGGUUGGGUAUGUGUUGUAUCCUAAGUGCAAGGUGUUCAAAUGUGUUACUUUUCCUGACCAAAGUGAUGUUGAAAGCUCAAGAUGAUUAAAAAGGACUUCGACAUUAGCUUGUGUGUGCCAUCUUCGAGGUCUUGUAUGUUCUCAACACACUCAUGCAGACAUUUCAAAAUAAAGUGCUUGCUCAUGCUGUCACAAGUUAGAUAAAAUGGUUUAACGACGUAUUACGGACCUAUCGUAACAUUUAUAUUUUCAUGGUCAUAUCAAUGGUCAAGAUCCAACUCUUGUUUCUCUUGUUAAGUUGACAAGCCUUUUGAUUAUUUAUGAUUUUACUGCCUUGUAGUUUACAUUUGUUUCAUGUAUUAAUCAAUUUGGCACUUUGUUUCAUGUAUUAAUCAAUGGUGACGUAUGUGACAUUAUGU